UACAGAGGCCUCGAGCGUUAGGCGGAAUCACUGGGCUUAAAGCGUGUGUAGGCGGACUUCUAAGUACCUUGUGAAAUCCCACGGCUCAACCGUGGAACUGCUGGGUAUACUGGGUGUCUUGGGUCAUCUAGGGGCUGCCGGAACAAAUGGUGGAGCGGUGAAAUGCGUAGAUAUCAUUUGGAACGCCAACGGCGAAAGCAGGCAGCUGGGGAUGCACCGACGCUGAGACACGAAAGCCAGGGGAGCGAACGGG
rnacentral:rRNA from 1 species